rnacentral:rRNA from 1 species
GAUGAACGCUGGCGGCGUGCCUAAUACAUGCAAGUCGAGCGAACGGACGAGAAGCUUGCUUUUCUGAUGUUAGCGGCGGACGGGUGAGUAACACGUGGGUAACCUACCUAUAAGACUGGGAUAACUUCGGGAAACCGGAGCUAAUACCGGAUAAUAUUUUGAACCGCAUGGUUCAAAAGUGAAAGACGGUCUUGCUGUCACUUAUAGAUGGAUCCGCGCUGCAUUAGCUAGUUGGUAAGGUAACGGCUUACCAAGGCAACGAUGCAUAGCCGACCUGAGAGGGUGAUCGGCCACACUGGAACUGAGACACGGUCCAGACUCCUACGGGAGGCAGCAGUAGGGAAUCUUCCGCAAAGGGCGAAAGCCUGACGGAGCAACGCCGCGUGAGUGAUGAAGGUCUUCGGAUCGUAAAACUCUGUUAUUAGGGAAGAACAUAUGUGUAAGUAACUGUGCACAUCUUGACGGUACCUAAUCAGAAAGCCACGGCUAACUACGUG